CGUAGGGGCAAGCGUUGUCCGGAUUUAUUGGGCGUAAAGAGCGUGUAGGCGGUCAGGUAGGUCGGUUGUGAAAACUGGAGGCUCAACCUUCAGAGGUCGACCGAAACCCCCUGGCUAGAGUCCGGGAGAGGAGAGUGGAAUUCCUGGUGUAGCGGUGAAAUGCGCAGAUAUCAGGAAGAACACCCGUGGCGAAAGCGGCUCUCUGGAACGGUACUGACGCUGAGACGCGAAAGCGUGGGGAGCGAACAGGAUU
rnacentral:rRNA from 1 species